UACAGAGGUCUCAAGCGUUGUUCGGAUUCAUUGGGCGUAAAGAGCUCGUAGGCGGCCACUCAAGUCGAAUGUGAAACCUCGAGGCUUAACCUCGAGCCUGCAUUCGAUACUGGGCGGCUAGAGUCUGGUAGGGGGAUCUGGAAUUCCUGGUGUAGCGGUGGAAUGCGCAGAUAUCAGGAGGAACACCGGUGGCGAAGGCGGGAUCCUGGGCCGGUACUGACGCUGAGGAGCGAAAGCGUGGGGAGCAAACAGG
rnacentral:rRNA from 1 species